rnacentral:rRNA from 1 species
GAUGAACGCUGGCGGCGUGCUUAACACAUGCAAGUCGAACGGAAAGGCCGAAGCUUGCUUCGGUACUCGAGUGGCGAACGGGUGAGUAACACGUGGGUGAUCUGCCCUGUACUUCGGGAUAAGCUUGGGAAACUGGGUCUAAUACCGGAUAUGACGAUCUCUUGGAUGGGGUUGUGGAAAGCUUUUGCGGUAUGGGAUGAGCUCGCGGCCUAUCAGCUUGUUGGUGGGGUAAUGGCCUACCAAGGCGUCGACGGGUAGCCGGCCUGAGAGGGUGUACGGCCACAUUGGGACUGAGAUACGGCCCAGACUCCUACGGGAGGCAGUAGGGGGGAAUAUUGCACAAUGGGCGCAAGCCUGAUGCAGCGACGCCGCGUGGGGGAUGACGGCCUUCGGGUUGUAAACUCCUUUCGCAAUCGACGAAGCCUUUUGGUGACGGUAGGUUGAGAAGAAGCACCGGCUAACUACGUG